rfam:Homo sapiens chromosome 19, GRCh38 reference primary assembly.
GCCGGGCGAGGUGGCUCUUGCCUGUAAUCCCAGCACUUUGGGAGGCCGAGGCAGGUGGAUCACCUGAGGUCAGGAGGUUGAGCCAGCCUGGCCAACAUGGUGAGACCCUGUCUCUA